rnacentral:rRNA from 1 species
CCUACGGGAUGCUGCAGUGAGGAAUAUUGGUCAAUGGGCGCGAGCCUGAACCAGCCAAGUCGCGUGAGGGAAGACGGUCCUAUGGAUUGUAAACCUCUUUUGUCGGGGAGCAAAAGACGCCACGCGUGGCGUUCCGAGAGUACACGAAGAAAAAGCAUCGGCCAACUCCGUGCCAGAAGCCGCGGUAAUACGGAGGAUGCGAGCGUUAUCCGGAUUUAUUGGGUUUAAAGGGUGCUCAGGCGGAAGAUCAAGUCAGCGGUAACAUUGAGAGGCUCAACCUCUUCGAGCCGUUGAAACUGGUUGUCUUGAGUGAGCGAGACGUAUGCGGAAUGCGUGGUGUAGCGGUGAAAUGCAUAGAUAUCACGCAGAACUCCGAUUGCGAAGGCAGCAUACCGGCGCUCAACUGACGCUCAUGCACGAAAGUGUGGGUAUCGAACAGGAUUAGAUACCCGGGUAGUC